rnacentral:lncRNA from 1 species
GGACAAGUUAGUUGUACCAGACUGGACAGCUUACUUCUUUGUUGUUAUCCGAACAGCUGUCAGGUGCAGCUACAAUUCUAGGCGCAAUCUAAAAACACCCAUGCAGUGACAUUAGUACCAAAGCAUGACAAAAUUAAGGAUAAAUAUGCUGAGAUCCACUGAGUUAUAAAAUGCAAUUUACUGAACUGAAAAUGCUAAAGAUAACUAAAUGGGUACAAAUUAACCAAUAAGUAGGGAGAAAACAUAUGUUCAUUCUAGUACUAUCAACUAACAUAUAGUUGAUUGAUGACAAAGUGUUGUCAUUGACAUAGGGAUGUCAAAAUCAAUACAUGAGUAUAUGUUAGAGAACAACAUAUUGGACUGACCUGCUAUGAGUAUGUUUCUUGGAUUAUUAUAUAAUAGUCACAACAUUACUCGUAGUGAUAACUACGUAUACGAUCCUUAGACUUGAGAUCAUCAUUGUCCCACCAUAUUGAGUCAUAUAUUUUGAUACAGUCAAAUGUCUACUGUAACAUGUUGUACUAUAAAGACUGAUGUUAGGUAUGCCACAAUCUAUGUAGUGAGAUAUGAUUGAUCAAGAUAAGAUUUGUCUCUUCUACAAAAUGGGAGCAAUAUCUUAGGCCACUUGAUGAAGUGAGACUAGAAAUGCAUGGUCAUGCUCAAAUAAGUUAAUAUGAGAUACUACACUUAUUUGUUUAUUGUAUUCUACUUCAGGUAUCAAGAAACAUGAGAUUGGACUUUGCAAGUGUGAUUAUUCCAUGACUUGUAUCGAAUCGAGAUAUAAUGGACAAAAGGAUAUAAUACAUGAAAAUUUAUUGUACAAUAUAUGUUUCUCUAUCUUUGCAACUUUGCAACUUAAUAUAUCUUUUCAACUUAAAGGAAAAAAGGACAAAAGGAUAUAAUACAUGACUUGUAACCAAUAUCAUACUUUAAAUCCUGACUUCUAUCUACCAAUACAACAUUUAUUGCACAAUAUAUGUUUCUCUCUCUUUUCUUUUCUUUUUUUGUGAACAAGGGAUAUCGUUGAAUUACUAUACCCUUGUUCCUAAAAAGUAACGAUGGAGUGCAACAAACCCCUAAAGAGUACGUAACUCCGCCGACACACUCGUGCAGCGACAACCUUUAACCAGAUUCAUUUUUCUAACACUUGCAUUGGAGUGUUCUCCCUUUAACAUUUCACAAUACACCCACUUUGUAGUGUCUCUUAUUUAUAACUAUAUAUACAUUUGAGUAGCUAUAAAAGGCAAAUUCAUUCAAGAUUCGAGGAAUGCUACUAGUUAUCCAUUACUAAUGCAACUUCAAUCAUUCAUCAAAGAAUUGAAGAUACAACAUUUGGUCAAAUUUAUCCAACUCAUUCAUUAAUAAUUCACAUGAUUCAAGAAUUAAGCAUUGAAUGUAACAAAAAUUUUCAAACACAUUUGCAUUAACCAAGAAUAAACCUUAAAUGUUUCAUUUUUUUUUUGAAAUGUGGUUGUAUUCCCAAAACCCAUAUGCAUUCCCCUAAACUUAAAGUUUGCAUUGUCCCCAAUGCACUAACAUUAACAUGCAAUGACAAUAAAAAUGCAACGACAAUGUACACUAAAAAAAAUGAAAAUUACAGCUACAUGCGAUGUAUGAAUACUACAACUAAAACUUAAAAUAAACCAACUCAGUUUUCCUCGGCCAUCAAUGUGGCUGCACGAUGUUUAUUUUUCCUCCUCUUUUUCUCCUCUUUCUUGCGCUUUUUGUCUUUAAAGCGCUUUCUCUUCUUUUCUUUGGGCUUCGCACGAUCCCCGAAUCGCUCCUCAGUUUCUGUCAUUACCCUAGCAUCAUCGACUUCUUCUUGUGUAGGAGGGGUCACCUUGAAUGGUCCGGUAUAGACCACUAUCGCCAAUGAGUUGUAGUGUUCCUCAUUGGUUACCUCUGCAACUUCCACUGAUCUAGCUCCAUCUUGCUCCAGAUUAUCAGUAGUUGCACCCACAAACUCAGAUGCAUUGACAAUAUCCUCAACAGAUUCUUUCUUAGCAACUUCUGUCUCAGUAUUUUCUUCAUCGGUCAUCUCAUUCACAAUGUCAACACGGACGUCCUCCUCGUCCACAACAACUUCCUCCUCAAUAAUAGGUGCUUCUUGACCAGCAAUGAAGUUGCCCUCAACCAGGUUAUCAAUUCGUCACAUGUACUCCUCAACAUCCCUUGAAUUAUCUUCUUUCUCAAAAUCAGAGACGUGCACAAUGGGAGGGGAUUCCACCGAUCUGUCUCGGUCCCCUAGGUCAUCUUCCUCGAAGGAGGGUUCAUACUCAGAUAAUCAGUGGGAACACUAGAAAUUCUGGGAGUGGGGUUGGGCUUAACUAACGUAAUGUGACGACCUCACAAAUUUUACAGCAGCACAGACUCUCAUAAUAGAAACAUCAACAUCUUUCAGCCCAUCUUUAACAACCAAAUUCAGAAUAUGUGCAACACAUCUUAUAUGCAAAAAUUCAAAAUUAAACACACUUCCAUCCCAUAAGUUAACAAUUUGCUUCAAAUACUUGAUCAUUAGAUCAUUAGAACUAGCAUUAUCAACCGUUAUAGUCAAUAUCCUCUUAAGACCCCAUUCUAAUAGACACUUUUCAACAGCCCUAGCGAUAAGCUCCCUAGAAUGACUAGCAAUUGAGCAAAAGUUAAUGAUCAUUUUAUGUAAUUUCCAAGCAUCAUCUAUGAAAUGGGAAGUAAGACACAUAUAUGAAAAAUUUUGACCAGAUGUCCGUGUAUUAGUGGUAAGACAUACCUUAAAAGACAAAUUCUUGAAAAUUUUCUUUAACGUCUUCUUUUUUUCAUUAAAAAGAGCAUAACAAUCUCUUGUAAUAGUAGCAUGUAAGGGAGGAACAAAAUUAGGAAUGACAAUCUUGCAAAAGUAAUGAAAACCUUCACGUUCAACAAACUAAAUGGCAACUCAUUAAUAAUCACCAUUUUAGCAAGUGCUUGUCUAAUAUCAUCUUGAUCAAAGCGGCAUAAUCUAGGAACACUAGCAGUUUCUAUGGUCCCAUCAACAUUUCACUUUGUCUUAGACUCAAAAUCUAAUAUUGUUAGUUUUUUAUCUAGGUUGAAAGGGGCAUUCUUACACCGACUACUGUGACGCCUCAUUACAUUAGUUCCAUUGUUAGAUGAACAAGUUAUCUUUCCACCACAAUAAAUACAUUCAACAUGAUUUUUAUCACCAUCAAUUUUUCUAAAAUGAUCCCAAAUAGUAGAAGGUUUUCUCUUUUUACCUUCAUCUGUUGUAAUUUCAAUGGGCUUCUCCCAUUUCCUUUUAUUUUUUGCACUUGUUAGAGUCUCCAUCACCAUUUUAGCCUUUUUUAGGUUCCUUAGAUGAUCAGUUGAGGAAGAUAUAUUCUUUAAGUCAUCAUCAUUUUCACCAAUCUUCGACAUAUUUUAAAAAAAACAUAUACUUUAGUUAAUUAUGAUUCGUAAAACAAACAAAGUACACAUGAACUUUGUUUAGUUUAUUUAUAUUUACAUGCCUUCUUUCUUAUAUAGAAGAAAAUUAACCUUACCAUCAUUGGUGAAACACAUGCAAAAGGUGAAAACAUAAAGAAAAAGUAAAAAUACCAACAUAUACAAUGAAAGGUGAAAGCAACGAAAACCAUGAUAACAAAUACUCUUGGCUGAAAUUUUGAACUUUUAUCAUAAACCAAUCUAGAAAAAAUAAGCUGAAAAUUAGAUAAUUCAACUACCAUAACUCAAUUACUUAUUCUCAUAGAGUUGGUAAAAAAAAGUGGACUAGAUAAGAACCAAGAGAAUAGUUAAGAUGAUAAUUACAGUCAAAACAAUUAAUUAAGAAAUGAGCUUUUCAUCACAGACAGUAUCAUCAAAACAAUUUAAAUUAUAGUCAACAAAUAACAUCAGAAAAAAGGAACAUGAUUUAUGAACAGAAACUAUCCAUAGGGUAUAGGGAAGAACAAAGUGCAUUCAGAAAAAAUAAGAAGUAUAAAACCGUCUUAUAUGAUUGAAUAGACUGCAGAAUACAAUUGAUGAAAGUCUGAUUGUCUAAUACUAGACAAAGUUAAUAGCAAAUCAUUCGUCUCUUUAUUCCUAUAGGGUCACAACAUGAGGUAUAAAAUGGAAAGAAUCAAGCAAUAAUUUAGAAUCUUUAAUCAUAAUAAUAGUAAAUAUGUAACACCCCUAACCCGUAUCUAUCGCUGGAAUAGGAUUACAAAGCAUUACCGUAGAAUCGUAACUAAAAACAUUCAAUUCUAAACAUUUCAUAAUUCAUAGCAAUUUCAUUCAAACACAUACAUAUUGUCCCUUAUUCGAGCCCUCAAGUCCCAAGAAAUACAUUAGAAUCGAUUCAAGACUAAUUUGGAAACAUUUCGAACCUUAAGGAAAAAGAUAAAAUUUUUCACACUGUAAAGGUCACACGACCGUGUGGCCAGGCCGUGUGACUUACACGGCUGAAACAUACGCCCGUGUCUCAGGCCGUGUGGACAUUUGAAGUAGGGACACAUGACCGUGUCCCAGCCCCUGUCCGUUCCAAUGUAACUCUCUGACUUGGGUCACACGGCCAAGCCACACGCCCGUGUGCCAGGCCGUGUAACUGCCUGACUUGGAUGCCUUACAAACCUACAGGGGACACACGACCAUGUCGCAUGGCUGUGUGGACAUGAAAUUGGCCAAAUUUAAGCCAUUUCCAUCUCCAACUCCAAUAUGUACCUAAAAUCAUUUUGUUCCCACAUAAUAGACCUCAAAAUAAACCAAUUCAUUCAUGAAAUAAUCCAUUCAAUGUACCAAAAUAAUUCAUCCAAUCAAUAUGCCCAUAGGGCACCUCAAUUUUAAGCAACCAACAAUUCAUCUAAACAUGUCGAACAUUUAUCAAAAUUAAGCAGCAUAACUUAUUAUAAACAAAGCUAAUUCACAUAACAUACAUGAAGUAUUCAAGAAUCAUUAUUUGGCACCAAAAGAUUUAUACAUUUUCUACUUAAAUCUGUUCCAAAAGGUUUACCUAAUUAUGCACACAAGUUCAACUAUCUUUUACUAGCAACAAGCAUAACAUAACAACUUUCAAUAUUUACAUCCAUACAAAAUAUCUAAGUACUAAAGACUCUUCCUAAUACAUGCCAUUUAAACCAACUAGCAAUAACCAAAAUGACUACCAAGAUGUUGAUGAUAGUGUGUGAGCUUCCGAGUCGAUCCAAUCAAUGCAAAAAUUUCAAAAGUCCUACAAGAAUAAAUCAAACUAAUAAGCACCAAAAAUCUUAGUAAGUUCGGUAUUAGCUUCAUUUAUUAUUUAACCCAAAAACUAUCAAAUUGAUGUAAAUUUUCAAUACACCGGCACAAAGCCUGCUAGGCACAUAGCCCAAAUAUCACCGGCACACAGCUUGCUAGACACACAGCUCGAAUAUCACCGGCACAAAGCCUACUAGGCACACAGCUCGAAUAUCACUGGCACAAAGCCUGCUAGGCACACAGUUCGAAUAUCAAUAGCACAAAGCCUACUAGGCACAUAGCCCGAAUAACAUUACAUUUCUAUUUCUUUAAACAUAACUAAGUGAAAUUCAUGAUUUAAUCAAUAAUGAAAAGCAUGAAAUGUUCAAUACAAUUAAUAGUAACCAUAUAACGAACUCACUUGGACUGAAUCGUAAAAAUUACAAAAGUUCAAGGACUAUUCCACUAUUUUUCUUUUUCUUAGUAUAUCUAUGGAAUCUUGUUCUAUAAUGUAAAAUUAUCCAAUUAUUAGCAUAAAUUUCAUUUCAAAUUCAUUUUGCAAUUAAUACCCUUUUAUUUUUCUAAUUUAUACAAUUAUCCUAAACUUUUAGAAUUUUUGCAAUUUAGUCUAUUAACUCGAAAUUCAUCAAAUUAAAUGAUUUUCUCAAGCCAAUAUUUUAUUAAAAUAUACUAGGCCCUCCAAAAGCCCCUAAUAAAUAUCAAAUUCACUAUCAAACCCUAAUAUUUUGACAUUUUCACCAUUUAAUCCUAAAAUCAAAAUCUAACAAAAAUCACUUUACAAAUUCAUCAAAUAACAUACUCAAAGCUCCAAAUACAUGGUAUUCAUAAAAAAAAUUCAAUAUUCAUCAAUGUCAACUUCCAAAAGUUUUAACAGAAUAGAAAACAAAUGUAUGAGCUAACUGGACCUAGUUGCAACGAUCUCAAAAACAUAAAAAUUACAAAUGGGUAAGAAUUGAACUCACAUGCAAAGAAAUUUGCUUGGUCGAUUCUCCUAUCUUGAGAAAUUUGAAUUUCGGCUAUGGAAUGUGAAAAUGAGGAAGAAAACAUUUUUCUUUUACUUAAUUUUGUUUUAAUUUCAUUUUAAUUACAAAUUUGCCAUCCAUUAUAUAUUAAUUUAUUAUUUUCACUUACUUAGCCGUCCAACAUUAGCUAUUAGAGACUAAUUGCUAUAUUGGUCCCUCUUCAUGUGGUUAAUAGACUAAUUAGUCAUUUAGUUAAACUAAUUACUAACUUUUUCACUUUUUUUAGUUUAGUCCUUUUUCUUUAAUUAACUAUGUAAACGUUAAUCUAAAUUUUAAUACGACUCUAAUGACUCUAAAAACAUUCUAAAAAAAAUAUUUUCGAGUCGACACGAUGGAAAUUUGUGGUCCUAAAACUACUAUUCCGUCACCACUGAAAAUCGGGUUGUUACAAAAUAUCAAGCUCUAGCAUUUACAGUUGUUAUAAAAUAUCCAUAAUUUCUAAUUUUCUAUCACCUAAAAUAUUUGCAAAGCACCAUAGUGAAAUAGAAAACAAAAGCUCAAACUGAUUGACUAGUAUACCAAAGAGAAAACAAACAAAAAACGAACAACAACAGAACAAAACAGAGAAGUUUGAGAAGAGACGAAGAGAAGAUGGGUAGACUGAAAUAUUGAAUAGUAGUGCUUACUUGAGCUUUGAGAUGGCAACGAGCGGCGAUGGUGGGAGCGAUCAGACAGCGGGUGACGAGUGGUCAUAGAUAGCCAGUCGAUUGGUGGGAGUAAGGUUGACGGGGAUGAUUUGCGCGGGAGAAUUGAACGAGUGGGAUAGUGAUUUAGUAAUUAGGGUAAAAAAUUGGGAAUCAGUUUAAGUUUU